rnacentral:rRNA from 1 species
AGUGAACGCUGGCGGUAGGCCUAACACAUGCGAGUCGAACGGCAGCACAGUAAGAGCUUGCUCUUACGGGUGGCGAGUGGCGGACGGGUGAGGAAUACAUCGGAAUCUACUUUUUCGUGGGGGAUAACGUAGGGAAACUUACGCUAAUACCGCAUACGACCUACGGGUGAAAGCAGGGGAUCUUCGGACCUUGCGCGAUUGAAUGAGCCGAUGUCGGAUUAGCUAGUGGCGGGGUAAAGGCCCACCAAGGCGACGAUCCGUAGCUGGUCUGAGAGGAUGAUCAGCCACACUGGAACUGAGACACGGUCCAGACUCCUACGGGAGGCAGCAGUGGGGAAUAUUGGACAAUGGGCGCAAGCCUGAUCCAGCCAUACCGCGUGGGUGAAGAAGGCCUUCGGGUUGUAAAGCCCUUUUGUUGGGAAAGAAAAGCAGCAGGUUAAUACCCCGCUGUUCUGACGGUACCCAAAGAAUAAGCACCGGCUAACUUCGUG